AUUGAACGCUGGCGGCAUGCCUUACACAUGCAAGUCGAACGGCAGCAUGAUCUAGCUUGCUAGAUUGAUGGCGAGUGGCGAACGGGUGAGUAAUACAUCGGAACGUGCCCUGUAGUGGGGGAUAACUAGUCGAAAGAUUAGCUAAUACCGCAUACGACCUGAGGGUGAAAGUGGGGGACCGCAAGGCCUCAUGCUAUAGGAGCGGCCGAUGUCUGAUUAGCUAGUUGGUGAGGUAAAGGCUCACCAAGGCGACGAUCAGUAGCUGGUCUGAGAGGACGAUCAGCCACACUGGGACUGAGACACGGCCCAGACUCCUACGGGAGGCAGCAGUGGGGAAUUUUGGACAAUGGGCGAAAGCCUGAUCCAGCAAUGCCGCGUGUGUGAAGAAGGCCUUCGGGUUGUAAAGCACUUUUGUCCGGAAAGAAAUGGCUUUGGUUAAUACCUGGGGUCGAUGACGGUACCGGAAGAAUAAGGACCGGCUAACUACGUG
rnacentral:rRNA from 1 species